AUUGAACGCUAGCGGGAUGCUUAACACAUGCAAGUCGAACGAGUGGCGGACCGGUGAGUAAUAUCUCGGAACGUGCCCAAUAGCGGGGGAUAACUACUCGAAACAGUGGCUAAUACCGCAUACUAUCGGAUAAGCCCAUAUCGGAUUAGCUAGUUGGUGGGGUAAAGGCUCACCAAGGAAACGAUCCGUAGCUGGUUUGAGCGGAUAACCAGCCAAACUGGGACUGAGACACGGCCCAGACUCCUCCGUGAGGCAGCAGUGGGGAUUUUUGGACGAUGUGGGGAACCCUGAUCCAGCCAUCCCGCGGGUAUGAGAAGGCCUGCGGGUUGUAAAGUACUUUUAGCGGGGAAGCGUUAUCUGCAGAAUAAGCACCGGCUAACUCCGUGCCAGCCGCCGCGGUAAUUC
rnacentral:rRNA from 1 species